rnacentral:lncRNA from 1 species
GGUGAAAGUAACAUUUGUGUAUGAACAUAUAUUAGUUAUGAAAUCGGUAGGUUUAAGACUAAUUGUGGUAAUGAUAAUAUAUUAAAAUGAGAUGGAUAUUUGAUUACCGAAUGUGAAUAAUAAGUAAACACUAUUGAUCAAAAUAUUAAACAUCUCUAUUUAUACUUAUUUAGCUCAAGAGCAAGGGGGGUCAAAGUUGGAU